rnacentral:lncRNA from 1 species
UUUCUAUCUGGGUUUGAUAGCCCUGGCGCAGUUAGACAAAGUUUAUUUAUUUCUUCCCUAGCUUCCCAAAACCAGCCAAGUCUUUGGGAGCCACUAUGGAAUGACACUCCCCUUGUAAGGGAGUGUGGGGAGGAGGAUAAAGAAGAAACAGACCCACAGCAAAAAGAACAAAACUAUUUAAAUGUAACCUAUUGCCCGCCUGGUUGUUGCUCAAAAUUAACUCUUGUUCUGUUCUGUUUAUGCUUUUCUAAAUUUGUUUUUUUGCAUCGUAGGAAAAAAGAAAAUGUAACCUUCCUUUUCUUAAGCUCAAUUAUUAGAGGUCAAAUACAAAGGUAAAAAAUUUUAGUCAGUAGAUAAAUAAGCUAUUCCAGUAUCUUAUAUGUGUUUAUGAAAAGUCAUCUUCCUAUCCAUAGUUUAUAUAAUAUAAGAUCUUGUACUUCUGGUAACCUAGCUUUAAAAAAGCUGCUUCAGGACAGUUAAGCAUGGCUCUUAACCAAAGAAUAGCUAGUUUUGUCUCCCCUCUUCCCCCUCCCUACCUACAAUUAUCUUCAAACAGAAGAAUUUCAUGUUUUAAAUUUAUUGGCAUAGUUUUAGAACCCCCCAGUUUGUCACUCAGGAAUGGAAGCUUUAGUUCUCCCUUGAGCAAUUACUUUAAAUAUAAAUUAACUGAUUGUCACACAAAUAAGCAAGGGUAAUUAUUAAGGCUUCAUGGAACUCUCUGGAAGAUAUCCACUCUGUACAAGAUAAAAAGAAAUCAAAGUGCAUUUAAGAAACGAAACAGAUUUGCCUUUAAAAAGAUCUAGAAGUCGAGGUCCUUGGUGGUUUCAGUCUACUACUGUCCUGGCUGCCUGUCACCUUUACUACCUACCUACCUCACAAGGAUGUUGUGAGGAAUUUGCUUGAUUUGGAUUUUAAAAAUCUAUAAAGUUAAGUUGUGAGUGAGGUUAUAUACCACAUAAAUUUCAAGAUGAUAUAGUUUAAUAAAAAGUUCAAUUGAAACAUUCAUUUCUGUUCAGC